rnacentral:misc_RNA from 1 species
CUGGUUGGCGAACCGAGCGUUAGCGAGGUUUUGCGAUCACUUGUAUUUAAAACCCACUCUUGAACGUAUAAAAUUUAUGUUAUUAUAAUGAUAAAAUAAAAGA